UUAAUUGAAAUGAAAAAUAGCCGCCCAUUCGCACGGUGGGCAGUUGUGCGGCGGACAGACUCGACAGUGGGCGUGGCAGUCACUGGGCGACUGCGGAGGCUGAGGACAUAAAACUGAAGUCAGACCCAGAAAGUGGAGGCCAGCUGUAAGGAAGUCAGUCGGUCGGUCGGCUGGCAAAUGCGAAUGCAAAUUGACCAAGUUGCAGCUGGAAAAGCCACAAGGAGCUGGAUACCUGGACAUCGGGAGAGACCUGCAGAGCCGCAAAAGCUGACCAAAAGUGCAUUUCACGCUGGCUAAUGAAACAAAUUAUAAGUGGCCACUGUCGUCGGAGUUUUGCGGAAACCAAACCAUACCAGGGGCAGUGUUUUCGGGCUUGAGGAUCGGAUCGGAAUCGGGAUCUGGAAAUGCGAUACUUUCUUUAGAGCGCCUGUUUUGAAUUUCUGCUUAUUACCGAAUAUUUUUCUGUCGCAAAACAAUGGUUUGUUCGCAGGUUGGUAACUUAACUCUCUCUUUCUCUGGCAUUUAGUUCCCUCCCGGCUGAUUACGAAGACUAUGGCCAUAAUUAUGAUGAUGAUGAUGAUGAUGAAUGCUUGGCGCGUGACGCAUGCGCUGAAAACAAAGAACCUGGGAUAUCAGGAGAAGAAUUUCAGUUCUUGGGCAUCAUCAUGGCAUCGAAACCUCAAGUGAUUCAGUCUAUGGCGUUGAGUCAACUGACUGAAUAAUUUCCCAUUCACCCAUGGGCAAUAAAUAACUUCGGAAAUUCAAUGUUGAUAGUGAA